rnacentral:rRNA from 1 species
UACGUAGGGGGCAAGCGUUGUCCGGAUUUAUUGGGCGUAAAGAGCGUGUAGGCGGCUAGACAGGUCGGCUGUGAAAUCCCGAGGCUCAACCUCGGGUCUGCAGUCGAUACGGGCAAACUAGAGUAUUGCAGGGGAGACUGGAAUUCCUGGUGUAGCGGUGAAAUGCGCAGAUAUCAGGAGGAACACCGGUGGCGAAGGCGGGUCUCUGGGCAAUAACUGACGCUGAGGAGCGAAAGCGUGGGGAGCGAACAGG